AGGGUGCUUCAGCAAGGGUGCUUGAUUCUACUACCCGUCGACCCAUUAGAGGAGCGACGCGGUUGUAGAGUCACGCACCUCUGUUGAGCACCCUG
rfam:Physcomitrella patens subsp. patens PHYPAscaffold_57 genomic scaffold, whole genome shotgun sequence.